CAGGGACAUAAUGGGAAAGGCUUUAUCUAAUGUCUUUUCUCAUUUACCUCCCUGGAAGGUGUCCCUUCAGUACUGUGUGUCCUUGGUGCUGCUGAGCUCUGUCUGACUCUCUGAUCAUUUCAACACCUGGCACCCCUGGAGAGGCUACCGAGGAGAGAAUGCGGGUGAGCUGCCACCAGUGGAGCUCUGAGGUUAUCACAGUCUGAUAAACGAACUCACAGGACACUCUCAAUCCAAUACGGCACUGACGUAGUUUAAGACACUGAUACAGAUGAGAAGCACAACUGCACAGCAUAUGUACUUCUAGUGAGAAUUCAUAAAAUAUCCCAGGCACAGCUUCCAGACCCCACCACUGCGUGGCCCAUGCUAGUUUGUGAAAGGUGAGUCAAAUAUGUGAGGAUUCUUCAGCACAAGGAAGCUGGCAUUGCAUAUGAAUCAUGUGGAUCCUUCCUGAGCAUGUGACCUGCUCUGUUUCACUGCAGCCCAUCACAUUAGUUACAUCAUAUGGUAAGUAAGAUACAGGGUUUAGGAAUGAAGUUAAAGACACAGUACUAUUUAAUGCAAAGUUUUUUUGAAAGCUGCUAAGAAAAGAAUAUUCAAAAUUCCUUUAGAAGUUCAUCAUCUUCUCAUUUAUUUUCAUGAAUAAAGUUUGUUCUUUAAAUAUUUUAUUUGAAGCUUGUUUCACACUUUCGUUUCUCAGGCUAGAAAUCAAGGAGUUCAAGGAGAUGGUCACACACAAAUUCGGUCUCUGGAUCACAGAAUCGCAGAGAGCUCUCGGUCUGAGCUUCUGUCCAUGGCCACAAAGAGUUGCAGACUGCAGGUUGAGCAAUGCAGGUUGAGAAAGCAAAGAGGUGAGCAAGGCAGGUUAAGAAAGCUCCAUGCACACUGUCUGCAGAGAUAAUUUUUGGUAUGUCAAUUUCAUUGCAGAUAUAAGAUAUGGAAAUAAUGGAAAGGCUUAGUAUAUGCUUGCAUAGGUCACAGUUUGACUUCAGGAAUGUGAUGGGAAUGACAGCCAUAACUUCAUUGGCACAGGAUUAGGGUGGCUGCCUAAUAAAGCAUCAGGAAAUUGACACGUAGCUAGCAGCCUCUCCAGGGCCCUGUGGUGAGCAGUAUAUACAGUUUGUGUGUAAUGGUGUGCAUACCUUGCAGUGGAUAUCCAAUGGCAAUCAAAGGGUGGCACUGUGUCAGUGAAUGCAAGAAGAUCUUGGGGCAGUACAGGCAAGGAAAGGAGAAAACAUGGACAGCAGCACCCUGAACAUUGAUGGCUCAUUUCUGCGUUGAAGGUAAAGCAAUCAUUGAAGACAAACUCAUGCCAAUCACAAUGAUAUUUUUCAAGGAAAAAAAUACAUGCAUGAUGUGUGAAAUCCCAAGGAACAAACAAGGGUCCUGAAUAUAACAUUUCCCAAAAGGGUACAAAAUUUACAAGAUAUAAUCAGGAUAAUGAAAUACAAUCUCCAGCCCUCAG
rnacentral:lncRNA from 1 species